GGGCCCGCACAAGCGGUGGAGCAUGUGGUUUAAUUCGAUGCAACGCGAAGAACCUUACCAGGGCUUGACAUACUACGAAUUUUCUUGAAAGAGAAAAGUGCCUUCGGGAAUGUAGAUACAGGUGGUGCAUGGCUGUCGUCAGCUCGUGUCGUGAGAUGUUGGUUAAGUCCCGCAACGAGCGCAACCCUUAUUUUUAGUUACCAAUUCGUUGGGUUCUCUAGAAAGACUGCCGGUGACAAACCGGAGGAAGGUGAGGAUGACGUCAAGUCAGCAUGCCCCUUAUGUCCUGGCUACACACGUGCUACAAUGGUUAAGACAAAGGGCAGCAAACUCGCGAGAGCUAG
rnacentral:rRNA from 1 species